rnacentral:rRNA from 1 species
UACGUAGGGUGCGAGCGUUGUCCGGAAUUAUUGGGCGUAAAGAGCUUGUAGGCGGUCUGUCGCGUCUGCUGUGAAAAUCCGGGGCUCAACCCCGGACUUGCAGUGGGUACGGGCAGACUAGAGUGUGGUAGGGGAGACUGGAAUUCCUGGUGUAGCGGUGAAAUGCGCAGAUAUCAGGAGGAACACCGGUGGCGAAGGCGGGUCUCUGGGCCGUAACUGACGCUGAGGAGCGAAAGCGUGGGGGAGCGAACAGG